rnacentral:rRNA from 1 species
CAUGCCGCGUGUGUGAAGAAGGCCCUCGGGUUGUAAAGCACUUUCAGUGGGGAAGAAGGCCUUGCGGUUAAUACCCGCGAGGAAGGACAUCACCCACAGAAGAAGCACCGGCUAACUCCGUGCCAGCAACGGCGGUGACUGAGCGGGCUGGCAAGGCGCAUA